GUGGGGAAUAUUGGACAAUGGGCGAAAGCCUGAUCCAGCCAUGCCGCGUGUGUGAAGAAGGUCUUCGGAUUGUAAAGCACUUUAAGUUGGGAGGAAGGGUAGUAACCUAAUACGUUGCUACUUUGACGUUACCGACAGAAUAAGCACCGGCUAACUUCGUGCCAGCAGCCGCGGUAAUACGAAGGGUGCAAGCGUUAAUCGGAAUUACUGGGCGUAAAGCGCGCGUAGGUGGUUCAGUAAGUUGGAAGGGAAAUCCCCGGGCUCAACCUGGGAACUGCUUUCAAAACUGCUGAGCUAGAGUACGGUAGAGGGUGGUGGAAUUUCCUGUGUAGCGGUGAAAUGCGUAGAUAUAGGAAGGAACACCAGUGGCGAAGGCGACCACCUGGACUGAUACUGACACUGAGGUGCGAAAGCGUGGGGAGCAAACAGGAUUAGAAACCCUUGUAGUCC
rnacentral:rRNA from 1 species